GGAUUCUUUGCUAGAAAAGUCUCCGUGUCAGGGCUGGGGUGAAGAGAGCUGAGGGGCGCUUUGCCUUCCCUCACCGGUGCGUUUUACCUCUCGAGGCACCGUAAGUUUGAAGUCCUCCAAGUUGUGGUCGGCGCCAUCAUGACGCCGGCGACUGUGUUCAAUAGCUCACUGUGAUUGUUGAGAAGUCAACACAGGGACAAGGAAAUCUCAGAUGGUUGUCUACAGUUACAAGGGGGAUUUUUGGACUGAUUUGUGAUUUUUCUGGGAAUGCAACUCAAGUUAGAAGAGGCCAUUAUCUGAAAGAAGAAGAAGCACCAGCUGAUGUGUUGGUUAUUUUAGGGCGACAUUUGCAGUUGCUUGGGCAAUAUCAUGAGCCUCACCUCAUGCAGGUCUGGGUCCCAGACCCAAAGACUGCUCCUCCAUACUCAGAGAUACCAGCACUAACAGAGCAGCUCCUCUUCUUCAGUACAGAUGCUUCUCAACUUACAAUGAGGUUAUACCCUUAUAAACACAUGGCUGUAGGUAUACCACAAAGUGAUGGCAUCCACGGCCGUAUGGAUUGGCUGCUGAGAAGACACCACUGCAGUGGGGGAGGCACAACCUGGGCUGUGCACUCUGCGGAGCCCACAGGAGCUGGAAACAGAAACACUACUUGCUGCUGCUAGGUCAGAAACAGAAAACUGGAAAUAUCUCAGAUACAGCUUGGCUGAAGCAAUAGAGAAAAAAAUUCCUAUGAAGUAGAGAGAGAGAAAAGAGAGGUGUUUUGUCAGUUGGUAAUGUAUAUAUGGUGUUUUGUUGUGUCAUUUUCUAAGUUUCUGAAUUCUGAGAACUUAGAAACUUAUUUACAAUAACCUGUUUUUCAUCUUCAAGUGGAUUUGUAAAAAUGAUGUAACAAAAAAAAGUCCAGUUUGUUAUAUUCCUCAAUCAUCACCAAUAUUUUAUGCUCCCAAAGAAAAUGGGAAAAUGUCUUUUUCCAUUACUAGAUGUAUAUCCAGUGCCCACCAUGACUAGGGAAAAAGAGAACUGGUUAUAUAUGUAUAUGUAUUUGGUGAAUUGAAACAAAUUAUUCUGAUGUGUGAAAAUAUCAUUUUUUGUCUAAAUAUAAAAUAUUCCUAUAAUGGCAAAAUUCCUGGGACAAAUUUAGUCAUUUUCCUGUACAUAGAUAUUAAUAGAAAUUAUAUAUUUAUAAAAACAGAUAAAUUCCUCGGUAAGUUUAAUUCAACUUUAUAAUAUUAGAUGUUAAAUUAUAGAACACAUGAAAAAGCUUUUUCUAUGAAAUUAGAUAAUGUUAAGAUGACUUGGGAAUAUUGUCAUUUCAGAGUUUCUUUAUACUUGAUAGAUUUCCUCAAAUACGAAAGUAAUAUUUCUUUGCCACAAGUUACCCUUUCCCUUCAGAAAAAAAUAGAAAACAAAUAUGUAUCUACUUAUUUCAUAUACAUAUAUACUUAUGUGCUACAAAAAUGUCACUUACAUGUACAUACAUCUCUAUGUUUUAGGACUUUCUCAGUUCACCUAAGGAUGGGGUCCUUGUCACAUGGCCAUGAAAGAUUAGUCUCACAGACACUUUGAAGGGUGAGAAAAAUGGAAUUUAUUGGGGGAAAAGGAAAAAAAAGGGAAACAGGAACUCUCAGCAAAGCAAGAGUCCUGCUAGUUGGUUUUCCCACCUCAUAGCUUGAAUCCCAGAUACUACACUGGAUCAGGAGAGGCCAGGCUCUCCCUCCCCAACCCUCCCCCGACAAAGGGUGCAAACUUUCAUGGCUCCACCCCAUUCUCCAAGUACACAGGCUGGUUGGACAUUCUCCAGUGACCCCCUUAUACUUGGCUGUCUCAUCUACAUGUAAACUUUAUAAUUAAACCUCUAUAAUUUACUCGAGAUUAUAAUGUUUUCACCUCUGCACUGUGAGUACUAUAAGACUAGAGAUUACUACACUAAUUAUUCUUGUUCUUAAAUAGUAAGAUAAUUACUGAAGCAAUAUUCUAUUCAAAAUGAAAAUUGGAUCCACCCCCAGCACACUUAAAUUAGGUGUCUUUUUCUUUCAUUUUGCAAAAUGUUCUCCUUUUAUGCUUUUCAAAUGCAUAUAAUAAAAUUAGAAAUAGAAGCUCCAUUAACAGGAGAGUCCAUGCUAGGUAAGAAUGUCAUCAAUGUGGUUAUUCUGCCUAUGCUCCAAUUCUAAAUGUAUUCCUGUACAAACGGUAGUUCUAUUAGAUACUGAUUCUGCUGGUUUCACCUGGCCAAACAGACACAAAUUAGCGGAGGACAAUAAAAAUAGCAUCAGUUAAGUUGAAAGUCAUUAACACUUAUUCAAAAUAUUGGAUGAAAUUAAACCACAAAGGCAAUUAAUGUUUUGGUGAAAAAAAUGUUUUUUUAAAAAUUUAAGAGAUUAUUUUUCUGUACUAGGGGACAAUUCAAACAAUCCCAGGCUGAAAUGAAUACUACCUACUUAGGGCCCCAUUGUAUGCUGAAUACAUUUCAAUAAAACACCUUUAACAUUUUAUUUCAACUCAUUUUGCUUAUGUCUCCAUCUGUCCUUGAGGAUAGCAUUACAUAUUACUUUUUUGGUAUCACUAGUUUCAGAAAAAUCGUGGCACACAGAACCCAUUCAACAAGUUUGUUGCAUUAAUAAAUUAAUCUGUGUUUUAAAUGUAAGUUACUUGUUUCUGUCCCACACAAGUUAGCACAUGAUUAUAUGAGGCUUUUUAAUUAAUCAACAUAAUCAAUAUUGUCAUCCAAAAAGAUGAAUCCCAAAAUCUCAGUGGGGAUUCUCAGUGAAGAAUCCUACACUCAUGCACACACAUAUGUAUUAUAUGCUUAAGCUACCGUCUCAUUGUAUUGAACACCCCUCUGCCACGUCUUUCAGUAAAGCCAUUUAAGGUAUUUGGUCCCAAGGGAAGAGAGAGACAAAGAAGAGCCACAGGGGCUCCUAAACUGCCUUUAAUUACUUCAGUUCAUGUUUCAUUGGGAAGUACCAAUCAUAGAAUGUCAAUCUCACUGCAAGGGAGGUUAGGAAUUAUAGAGCACUGAAGUAAUAUUCAGUGACCACACAUUUUCUCUGGCACAGUCUUUUUCUAUAAUGGUUUCAGAAAUGUCUUUGCAGAGAGAUUACAAGCAUCAAGGGCAAAAUACAGCACCUCAUUUUAUAUAUUUCUUAGUAUAAGAGAAUAGUAAGAGAUAUGUGGUAGGUACUCAACUUGCUGAUAUUUUGAAAUUUAUUUUUUGGAAAGUGUUAUUCAUUUUCCAAACUGUAGUGGUCACUAGAUAAAUAUCUACUUGUGUUUAUCUUUCCUGAAAAAAAUAAGCUGGGAUAUUAGAAGUUUCAAAAUGGUUGAUAUUAUAACAACUAUGGUGUUUCUUGAGGAGAAGGGAGGGGUUGUUAAGAUGUGGUUAAGAUGUGUGCACAUAAUCAUCUGAAGUGAUUUUCCAAAUGUAAGUGCUAGGGUUCUGAAAGUAAUUCGUUUGAGGUGUGCCACAGGAGAAUCUUUUCCUGAAGAAAAGUUCUAACUAUUGCUCAAACAACUUUUGUCUAAGAAUAACUAGUAAGCCUAGUACAUUUUGCAGAAUUAAACUGCUUCAUAGUUUGGGAAUUGCAUUGACAGAACUACCAAGCUUUUGGAACACAGAAAAUCAUGGAAAGAAAUACAACUCUCAUCAACUUAUUUAUGUGAAAGGCUAUUUUUGAUAUAUUUUUUAUGCUUCAGGUGAAUUAUAAUUUUGCUGUCUCUAUUUGGAUAUUUAACAAUGAAACAACUGUAUUACUGUGUUCACUCUUUCAGGACAUUUCUGAGAAGCAACAUUGAUUUAUUUUCCACAUAAUGUUUAGGAUUAUGUGCCAGAGAAUAUGAGCUGAGUUCAUUCCUGGACAUAGAACUUUAACAUGUAUGCCAGACUCUCUUUUGGUUAGUUAUGAACAUAUUAAGUUGCAAUGAAUGUGAUGAAGGAAAUAAUGAAUGCCACCUUUAGAUCUUGCUCACAAACCAACCAACCAGCAAACACACCCAGGCUUCUUGAGUCAUGGAUUUGGAGAGAUUCUCACCAAAAAUGCUUGCAUUGUUCUCGUAUGUGAAUAAGAAGGUAACUUUUAUGGUCUCAUGUCCUUAAGACUUUGAAUUAUUUUGCUAUCAUUAAUAUUAGUUAUUAUCUUAACUAAUUUAUUAUUUUUAUAUUAUUUAGGUGAUUAUUAAUAA
rnacentral:lncRNA from 1 species